rnacentral:rRNA from 1 species
AGCGGCGGAUGGGUGAGUAACACGUGGGGAACCUGCCCCUAAGUCUGGGAUACCAUUUGGAAACAGGUGCUAAUACCGGAUAAUAAAGCAGAUCGCAUGAUCAGCUUUUGAAAGGCGGCGUAAGCUGUCGCUAAGGGAUGGCCCCGCGGUGCAUUAGCUAGUUGGUAAGGUAACGGCUUACCAAGGCGACGAUGCAUAGCCGAGUUGAGAGACUGAUCGGCCACAUUGGGACUGAGACACGGCCCAAACUCCUACGGGAGGCAGCAGUAGGGAAUCUUCCACAAUGGACGCAAGUCUGAUGGAGCAACGCCGCGUGAGUGAAGAAGGUUUUCGGAUCGUAAAGCUCUGUUGUUGGUGAAGAAGGAUAGAGGUAGUAACUGGCCUUUAUUUGACGGUAAUCAACCAGAAAGUCACGGCUAACUACGUGCCAGCAGCCGCGGUAAUACGUAGGUGGCAAGCGUUGUCCGGAUUUAUUGGGCGUAAAGCGAGCGCAGGCGGAAAAAUAAGUCUAAUGUGAAAGCCCUCGGCUUAACCGAGGAACUGCAUCGGAAACUGUUUUUCUUGAGUGCAGAAGAGGAGAGUGGAACUCCAUGUGUAGCGGUGGAAUGCGUAGAUAUAUGGAAGAACACCAGUGGCGAAAGGCGGCUCUCUGGUCUGCAACUGACGCUGAGGCUCGAAAGCAUGGGUAGCGAACAGGAUUAGAUACCCUGGUAGUCCAUGCCGUAAACGAUGAGUGCUAAGUGU